AGGAGAAGUCGUAACAAGGUUACCGUAGGUGAACCUGCGGUAGGAUCAUU
rnacentral:rRNA from 1 species